rnacentral:rRNA from 1 species
AGUGGCGGACGGGUGAGUAACGCGUGAGGAACCUGCCUUUCAGAGGGGGACAACAGUUGGAAACGACUGCUAAUACCGCAUGACACAUUGGGGUCGCAUGGCUCUGAUGUCAAAGAUUUAUCGCUGAAAGAUGGCCUCGCGUCUGAUUAGCUAGUUGGUGAGGUAACGGCCCACCAAGGCGACGAUCAGUAGCCGGACUGAGAGGUUGACCGGCCACAUUGGGACUGAGAUACGGCCCAGACUCCUACGGGAGGCAGCAGUGGGGAAUAUUGGGCAAUGGGGGAAACCCUGAUGCAGCGACGCCGCGUGGAGGAAGAAGGUCUUCGGAUUGUAAACUCCUGUUGUUGAGGAAGAUAAUGACGGUACUCAACAAGGAAGUGACGGCUAACUACGUGCCAGCAGCCGCGGUAAAACGUAGGUCACAAGCGUUGUCCGGAAUUACUGGGUGUAAAGGGAGCGCAGGCGGGAAGACAAGUUGGAAGUGAAAUCCAUGGGCUCAACCCAUGAACUGCUUUCAAAACUGUUUUUCUUGAGUAGUGCAGAGGUAGGCGGAAUUCCCGGUGUAGCGGUGGAAUGCGUAGAUAUCGGGAGG